rnacentral:misc_RNA from 1 species
GGAGGAAGGACAAAUAAUUAUUCACAGCGAUCAGGUUCUACUUCUGCCCAGGAUAUGGUUCUUUCAUCUGGAUCUGGCCGCCGGGGACACCAUUUAUUGCAACCAAGGUCUGCAUUAUGGAUGGAAAGAAGAGGUGAUGGUGGACUUGGUCUUCCCUAUUCAUUACGAACUUUGGCUACUUCCGGUGAAGGAAGUGACAAUAACAGACUUGUAUCUGAG